GACGAACACUGGCGGCAGGCCUAACACAUGCAAGUCGAACGAGUGGCGGACGGGUGAGUAAUGUCUGGGAACCUGCCCGAUGGAGGGGGUUAACUACUGGAACCGGUAGCUAAUACCGCAUACCAUCGGAUGUGCCCAGAUGGGAUUGGGUAGUAGGGGGGGUAAAGGCUCACCUAGGCGACGAUCCCUAGCGGGUCUGAGAGGAUGACGAGCCACACGGGAACUGAGAAACGGUCCAGACUCCGACGGGAGGCAGCAGUGGGGAAUAUUGCACAAUGGGCGAAAGCCUGAUGCAGCCAUGCGGGGUGUAUGAAGAAGGCUUUCGGGUUGUAAAGUACUUUCAGCGAGGAGGCGGUACUCGCAGAAGAAGCACCGGCUAACUCCGUGCCAGCAGCCGCGGUAAUUC
rnacentral:rRNA from 1 species